rnacentral:tRNA from 1 species
GCUGGCGUAGCUCAGUUGGUAGAGCAUCUGAUUUGUAAUCAGAGGGUCAGUUGGUAGAGCAUCUGAUUUGUAAUCAGAGGGUCGGGGGUUCAAGCCCCUCCGCCAGCUCCA